GAUGAACGCUGGCGGCGUGCCUAAUACAUGCAAGUCGAGCGAACGGACGAGAAGCUUGCUUCUCUGAUGUUAGCGGCGGACGGGCGAGUAACACGUGGAUAACUUACCUAUAAGACUGGGAUAACUUCGGGAAACCGGAGCUAAUACCGGAUAAUAUUUUGAACCGCAUGGUUCAAAAGUGAAAGACGGUCUUGCUGUCACUUAUAGAUGGAUCCGCGCUGCAUUAGCUAGUUGGUAAGGUAACGGCUUACCAAGGCAACGAUGCAUAGCCGACCUGAGAAGGUGAUCGGCCACACUGGAACUGAGACACGGUCCAGACUCCUACGGGAGGCAGCAGUAGGGAAUCUUCCGCAAUGGGCGAAAGCCUGACGGAGCAACGCCGCGUGAGUGAUGAAGGUCUUCGGAUCGUAAAACUCUGUUAUUAGGGAAGAACAUAUGUGUAAGUAACUGUGCACAUCUUGACGGUACCUAAUCAGAAAGCCACGGCUAACUACGUG
rnacentral:rRNA from 1 species